UGGGUGCAGCACAUCCCACCGAGAGA
rnacentral:piRNA from 1 species